AUUGAACGCUGGCGGCAAGCCUAACACAUGCAAGUCGAACGAGCGGCGGACGGGUGAGUAAUGUAUGGAGAACUGCCUGAUGGAGGGGGAUAACUACUGGAAACGGUAGCUAAUACCGCAUACUAUCGGAUGUGCCCAGAUGGGAUUAGCUAGUAGGUGGGGGAAAGGCGCACCUAGGCGACGAGCCCUAGCUGGUCUGAGAGGAUGACCAGCCACACUGGGACUGAGACACGGCCCAGACUCCUACGGGAGGCAGCAGUGGGGAAUAUUGCACAAUGGGCGCAAGCCUGAUGCAGCCAUGCCGCGUGUAUGAAGAAGGCCUUCGGGUUGUAAAGUACUUUCAGCGGGGAGGCGUUACCCGCAGAAGAAGCACCGGCUAACUCCGUGCCAGCAGCCGCGGUAAUUC
rnacentral:rRNA from 1 species